rnacentral:misc_RNA from 1 species
UGUUUUUGCUGUAGGGUUGUCCUGAUUCUAGCUGCAGUUCUUCUUCUUGGGUGUCUUAGUACAGUUUUUCCCCCUUGUUGCUUACUUGUGAGAGAACGUGAUGACUAAAGUAAGAACCCUAGAAAGACAGAGACAGACAGAGACACAGAGAGGCAGCGGUUUCUUGUUUUUCAGGUGAUGAGGGAUAGUUUAUCGCCUUGAAAUGGAAGAGUUAAGAAGCUUUGUUGUUAUCCUCCUUGCCCCUGCAGGAAUGGGUAUUUCUUGAGAAAAUAGAAGUAGAACACAAGAAUAACCAAAAAGGGGAUCAAUAAGCAAGAAUUUGCAUGGCUUCCCAG